rnacentral:rRNA from 1 species
AUUGAACGCUGGCGGCAGGCCUAACACAUGCAAGUCGAACGAGUGGCGGACGGGUGAGUAAUGUCUGGGAAACUGCCUGAUGGAGGGGGAUAACUACUGGAAACGGUAGCUAAUACCGCAUACCAUCCGAUGCGCCCAGAUGGGAUUAGCUAGUAGGUGGGGUAAAGGCUCACCUAGGCGACGCUCCCUCGCUGGUCUGAGAGGAUGACCAGCCAUACUGGAACGGAGACACGGUCCAGACUCCUACGGGGGGCAGCAGUGGGGAAUAUUGGACAAUGGGGGCAAGCCUGAUGCAGCCAUGCCGCGUGUGUGAGGAGGGCCUUCGGGUUGUAAAGUACUUUCAGCGGGGAGGCGUUACCCGCAGAGGAAGCACCGGCUAACUCCGUGCCAGCAGCCGCGGUAAUUC